AAUCCCAAAGACGAUUAAUAAUAGAAAAAUGUUAAAAGUAGUGACUGAUUUUUAUAUCUUUGAUACAUAAUCAAUUUUUUUGAGGGAUU
rfam:Brassica napus, WGS project CCCW01000000 data, contig: 12270